UCUCUGAUCGUAUAGUGGCUAGUAUGCCAGCUUGUCAAACGACAAUUCGCUGGAGACCGGGGUUCAAUUCCCCGUCAGAGAG